rnacentral:tRNA from 1 species
CAGAAGCGUGCCCGAAUAAUAGGACUAUUUUGAUAAAAUAGACAUAGAGCCUAAAAACUCUCACUUCUU